rnacentral:rRNA from 1 species
GAUGAACGCUGGCGGCGUGCCUAAUACAUGCAAGUCGAGCGAACGGACGAGAAGCUUGCUUCUCUGAUGUUAGCGGCGGACGGGUGAGUAACACGUGGAUAACCUACCUAUAAGACUGGGAUAACUUCGGGAAACCGGAUCUAAUACCGGAUAAUAUUUUGAACCGCAUGGUUCAAAAGUGAAAGACGGUCUUGCUGUCACUUAUAGAUGGAUCCGCGCUGCAUUAGCUAGUUGGUAAGGUAACGGCUUACCAAGGCAACGAUGCAUAGCCGACCUGAGAGGGUGAUCGGCCACACUGGAACUGAGACAGGGUCCAGACUCCUACGGGAGGCAGCAGUAGGGAAUCUUCCGCAAUGGGCGAAAGCCUGACGGAGCAACGCCGCGUGAGUGAUGAAGGUCUUCGGAUCGUAAAACUCUGUUAUUAGGGAAGAACAUAUGUGUAAGUAACUGUGCGCAUCUUGACGGUACCUAAUCAGAAAGCCACGGCUAGCUACGUG